rnacentral:lncRNA from 1 species
GGGGGGGGGGGGGGGGGGGGGGGGGGGGGGGGGGGGGGGGGGGGGGGGGGGGGGGGGGGGGGGGGGGGGGGGGGGGGGGGGGGAGCAGGAAUAGGGACAGGAAUGGGGACAGAGAUGGGGACGGGGACAGGAAUAGGGACAAUAUUGGGGAUGGGGACAGGAAUGGGGACAGGGAUAGGGGCAGGAAUGGGGAUGGGGACAGGGCUAGGGGCAGGGAUGGGGAGCAAAGGGCUGAUCCCAGGGGAUCAUCCCAAAGUGACGGAGAAGAAACGAGGCUCUGAAGGACCCCAAACCUUCACCUGGAAGGAGCCGAUGCGAUGGAGGGAGCUCAGCCCCACCUGAGCGCAGGUGAGCACCUGGAGCCGCUUUUCCGGGCUCUUCCCGCGUUCCCCACCUGGCUCAGCCCUCCCUCACCUCCCUCUCCCCCUGUCCCGAGGAAGACCUGACGACCCCGUACCUGAGGAAGGCUCCCACCCCCCCCGGCCAUGAGGACGCCGACACCGCCGUCAUCGCAGGUGAGGCCGCCGCUCCCCUCAUCCCACGGCAGCAAAGGAGCUCAAACUACCGUAAUCCCCACAAAACAGAAUUUUCCCACCUUCUUUCUGUCGCAGGAGAACAGGGUAACACAUCAGUUAAAAAUUAUUUUUUGGU